rnacentral:rRNA from 1 species
UACGAAGGGGGCUAGCGUUGCUCGGAAUUACUGGGCGUAAAGCGCACGUAGGCGGCUCUUUAAGUCGGGGGUGAAAUCCUGGAGCUCAACUCCAGAACUGCCUUCGAUACUGGAGAGCUUGAGUUCGGGAGAGGUGAGUGGAACUGCGAGUGUAGAGGUGAAAUUCGUAGAUAUUCGCAAGAACACCAGUGGCGAAGGCGGCUCACUGGCCCGAAACUGACGCUGAGGCACGAAAGCGUGGGGAGCAAACAGG